UGGGGAAUAUUGCACAAUGGGCGCAAGCCUGAUGCAGCCAUGCCGCGUGUAUGAAGAAGGCCUUCGGGUUGUAAAGUACUUUCAGCGAGGAGGAAGGCGUUGUGGUUAAUAACCGCAGCGAUUGACGUUACUCGCAGAAGAAGCACCGGCUAACUCCGUGCCAGCAGCCGCGGUAAUACGGAGGGUGCAAGCGUUAAUCGGAAUUAAUGGGCGUAAAGCGCACGCAGGCGGUCUGUCAAGUCGGAUGUGAAAUCCCCGGGCUCAACCUGGGAACUGCAUCCGAAACUGGCAGGCUAGAGUCUUGUAGAGGGGGGUAGAAUUCCAGGUGUAGCGGUGAAAUGCGUAGAGAUCUGGAGGAAUACCGGUGGCGAAGGCGGCCCCCUGGACAAAGACUGACGCUCAGGUGCGAAAGCGUGGGGAGCAAACA
rnacentral:rRNA from 1 species